UGUGUAGAGGCAGGGAAAUAUGCUG
rnacentral:miRNA from 1 species